AGUGAACGCUGGCGGUAGGCCUAACACAUGCAAGUCGAACGGCAGCACAGUAAGAGCUUGCUCUUACGGGUGGCGAGUGGCGGACGGGUGAGGAAUACAUCGGAAUCUACUUUUUCGUGGGGGAUAACGUAGGGAAACUUACGCUAAUACCGCAUACGACCUACGGGUGAAAGCAGGGGAUCUUCGGACCUUGCGCGAUUGAAUGAGCCGAUGUCGGAUUAGCUAGUUGGCGGGGUAAGGGCCCACCAAGGCGACGAUCCGUAGCUGGUCUGAGAGGAUGAUCAGCCACACUGGAACUGAGACACGGUCCAGACUCCUACGGGAGGCAGCAGUCGGGAAUAUUGGACAAUGGGCGCAAGCCUGAUCCAGCCAUACCGCGUGGGUGAAGAAGGCCUUCGGGUUGUAAAGCCCUUUUGUUGGGAAAGAAAAGCAGCAGGUUAAUACCCCGCUGUUCUGACGGUACCCAAAGAAUAAGCACCGGCUAACUUCGUG
rnacentral:rRNA from 1 species